AAUCCCCAUUUUCUUUCUAAAAAUCACGCAUACCAGACCCUUCAUCUUCUCUCUGCUUAUAUGUUUCUUCUUGGAGAAACCCUAGUCAAAUACACACACAAACAUAUGGAGACCAUCUUCUCCAAACCAAGUCCCACAACAACAACAACCUGCUCCUCUUCUCCCUCUCGUUCAAGAUCGGCCAAGCGACACCCCCCAUCUCGUUCAAGAUCGGCCGAGCCCCACCUAGAUCUAUGAACAACCUGCCACCUCCUUUCAGCGAUGGCUCACGGAGACGAGACGAAAACCGUAGAGAGAGAGAGAGAGAAGACAGCAGCGCCGCCAUCUGCGGCGGCGGUCGUUCAACCUCGAGUCUGGUUCGUCGGGUUCAGGUACAGGGUGGGUCAACACGGGUCAAGCUUGGGGCGUUUCAGUUGGUUCGGGUAUCAGUGGAGGCGAUGGCGGUAGUGUCGACGGCAACCAGAGCCGACGUACGGCGGCAGCCGGCGUCGACAGAGGCGGUGGUUCGGUUUUGGUUCUGGUUCAGCAACAGUCAACAGUUCAGGUCUCGUUUUGGACUCGAGGCAUGCUUCGGUUCAGUUUUCGUAUUAACUGCGGUCAGACCAACUAGUCAGUUUCAGAUUCGGUCCAGAUCUGUUCGUGUUUUGGUUCGAGUUCAGUUUGAGUUACGUCAGAACUCGUUGCGACAUCGUUCGCGCUGCCUGAAAUCCAACCCCACCAGUUGGCUGCUCGUGCGUUGGCUUUAAACGAAUCUAUAACCAUCGGUCAUCCUGCACAUAAUGUGUGGAACUUGCAAUCCCAAGUGGAAAAGUUAAAUAAAUGAUUCGAAGAGGCGCAACAACCCCACACAGAAGUGUUGCAAAACCGAGUUGAAGAGAUGCAAUACAAAUGAGAGAAGAUUUGCAACAACAAAUAACCGAGUUGAUGAAGUAGUUUGGUAAUCCUAGCAAUUCUCCACCAUAGUUUAGUUUUGUUUGUUGUCUUUUGCGGUUGAACUUGUAAUUUAAAACCGUGGGAUAUUUUGUUGUUGAACCUACAAUUUGACAACCGUUUUGUAUUUUGUGGAUGAACUUUCAGUUCUAUAAUCGUGUCUUGUUUAGUAUUUUUA